GGGGAGAUUCCAGAGUGGCCAAAUGGGCCAGACUGUAAAUCUGGUGGCUUACGCCUUCGCAGGUUCGAAUCCUGCUCUCCCCA
rnacentral:tRNA from 1 species